AUGUCAUCUAGGAUGUUCAAACUUGAAAUAAGUAAAAAAAAUUCGGAUAAAAAGUGUUCAAUAUAUAUUAUAUACCACUAAAAUUUAAUAUUUUACAUAUAUAUACAAUGUAAUUUUUUGAUGAAUUAGUUGACCACCCUUAGGACUAUGUACCUUCGCCCCUGGCAGCUAGUAAAUUGUUCUUGUUUAUUUACUUAAUAUGCUACGUCACUAAGAUGAGAAAUGCAUCCAUCCAUAAAAAAAAACCUGCUAGAGCAUCAUCAAAUUUUGCAACAUUAUCAGAAUUUCAUCAUAGAAUAGUAUGAUAUCGCAUCAUAGAAUAGUAUGAUAUCUCAUUUAUAUAUAGAUGAUUAUAAGUACUAUACAGUGUAGAGAGGGGAGCGACGUGAACUCACACUCUCCCAUAUAGGUCCGCCUCUCAUUGCCAGUACACAUAUUUAUUCAAAUUUGAGCCCGCAUAAAAUAACAUUAGUGAAUAGUAGCAAUAAAGAGAUUAAUAUUAUAGUCCAAAUGAUGCUUUAGUGAUAUUAUAUUAGAUCCUCAAAAAUAAUGAGUAUUAGUUGACCUCAAAGAUUAAAUUUUCUAGUAAUAUCAUAUUAGAUCCUCUGCAUCUGUGAGGGCUAUUGAAUCUGUUGUCCCAACAAUCUCUCAAAGUUAAACAUGUUCAUGAUUUCCUUUACAUUUCAUCGUCUCUACAGAUUUUACCACUUUACAGCUUCUAACACACUCCUCAAUGGCCUCCUUUUCACCCAACCUCACCACAUCUUCACUUUUAAACCCUCUUAGCGCCAUACCAAAAUUGACUAUUUUACAACAAACCCAUUGCCUUCAUCUUCGUCAGAUUUUGAUUCAGUUGUCAAAAGGGUCUGUUCUUUAGUGUGUGAAUCAUAUUGUAAAUUUUAAAAAAAUAGCCAUUUCAAAUCCACAGCUCCCAAGUUGAAACUGCCUAUAGAUUCUGAGUAUUUGACUCAAGAACAGGCUAUAACAGUUGUUGCCUCUCUUGCUGAUGAGGGAGGCUCAAUGCUAGCAUUGAGUUUCUUUUAUUGGGCUAUUGAGUAUGUGAAAUUCAGGCAUUUUAUGAGGCUUUAUAUAGUUUUAGCUAUGUAUUUGAUUAAAAAUGGAAACUUUGAGAGAGCACAUGAACUGAUGCAUUUUAUGCUGAGGAAUUUUGGUGAAAUUGUCACGUUGAAAGAGGCUACAGAUAUGGUGUUUGAGAUGCAAAAUCAAGGGUUGGUUUUGUAUGCUUAGAGUUUGAAUUCUGUUGUUAGUGUUGCUACUGAGAUGGGCCAUGUUGAGAUGGCAGAGAAGAUGUUCGGUGAAAUGUGUGACAGAGGAGUGUGUCCUGAUUCUUUUUGUGUAGUGUUAAAAAGGCAUAAUUAAGCAAGCAUUUGAGUUGUUAGAGGAUGGUGAAUGAGGCAGACCAAAAUAAUGCACUUGGGCCUGGGAAUGGUUUACGCCAGGGUCAAGUGAUUAAACAGCCCAACACAAGGUUAUUGGACUACCAUUGGGACCCGAGUUGAGAUACACGUGUCGAAGAGUUACUGGGCAAGAAGAAAUGUAGUUGGUAUAAUUAUCAGUUUGUGCGAGGAGGAGAGCAUGCGAAUUAUGUUGAGGCUUCCGCUGAGUCUAUUCUUCUCAUCUCUAUCUUUCUAAUGUCUUAAACUUCUCAUCCCUUUCUGGUUAUCCUUUCCUUGUUCCUCUAAUUCCUAGUUAAUUGUUGUUCUUCAUUCCAUUAGUAUUUCCUUUUACAGUGUUAUUUCGUUCAGUGAUUAUAAAAUACAAGUCUCUGUUUGUGUUGUGAAUUGGUUUGUCACAGAGGAAAUGGUUAAAAAAGGUUUUAUACCAAAUGUUUUCACUCAUACUGCAUUGAUUGACGGUCUUUGCAAGAAGGGCUGGAUGGAUAAGGCAUUUAGACUAUUCUUAAAGCUUGUGAAGAUUGAUAACUACAAGCCUAAUGAGCAUCCUUAUACAGCCAUUAUAGCUGGAUAUUGCAAACAGGAAAAAUUGAAUCGAGCAGAGAUGCUUUUGAGCAGAAUGCAAGAGCAAGGUUUGGUCCCUAACGCCAACACCUACACUGCAAGCUAGCCGAUAACAGCAAGCUUUUAACCUUUUCAGUAAGAUAGUCAAAGCUGGUAUCAGCCCUGAUAUGCAUACAUACACCACAUAAAUGACCUAUGUAGCAUCGGCUUUGGACUAUCUCCAUAACGGUUAUUCAGAGCCACUGGUGCAUUGUGAUUUGAAGCCUAGCAAUGUUUUGCUAGAUCAAAACAUGGUUGGCCAUUUAAGUGAUUUUGGUAUUGCAAAACUGUUAGGUAUAGAGGAUAGUCCUAGACAAACUAAGACUAUUGGGACCAUUGGAUACAUUGCGCCAGGUACCUAAACUUCUUCUAUUGCCAUUAUCUUUCUCGUAUCAUCAUUCAUCUGUGGAACUAUUAUAAAAAACUGAGCUGAUGAUUUCUCACUUGUCGUUGCAAAGUAAGGACAAGAUGGACUUGUAUCAACAAGUUGCGACGUGUAUAACUUUGGUGUUGUGAUGUUGGAAGCAUUCAUGAGGAGGAGGCCUGACGAUGAAAUGUUUACUGGAGAUUUAAGCAUAAGAAAUUGGGUGAACGACUCGUUUUCAUGGUCUAUUCCCAUUUUUAUCAAAACCUAGGUUUUUCAACAAAAUACUAAAAUCUCUACAAUUUUCAUGUUAAGAUCUGCCCAUAAUCUAGGUAUUAAACUCAUAUUGUGUAGAAUACACUUACCUCAAGAUGCUAGGUGAAAAUCCCUAUAUACAAAGCUCCAAAAUCGGCUUACAAAUGAGAAAAAUGAAAAAAAAGGGCCAAAAUCCCGAUUUUUAUUAAGUCACUGCCCAGGUCUGCCUUCUUCGCGAUUGCGGACAAGCCCUCGCGAUUGCGAAAGCAAAAGUCACGAACCCAGAAAAUGUCCUCUUCGCGAUCGCGAGAAGACACUCGUGAACGCGAUGCACUGAGCCGCCCUCUCAUCGUGAACGCGUGCCCCCACUCGCGAACGCGAAAGGCAACUGGGUUGCCUGGGACCUGGCCCAGGUCUUCCACGCGAACGCGACGAGUCAACCGCGAACGCGAAGGCCACUACCCAAGCCUCUGCAAACGCUACCCCGACUUUGCGAACAACAUCACCCAAUCCCCAAAUCCUUCUUCACGAUCGCGAGGGUCCUUACGUGUUCGCGAAGAAGGAAACCAGAACAGCACAUCAACAAUUUUGGAGUCAGCUUCGAGGGGUCUGAAACGCACCCGAGCCCCCCGAAACCCAGUCCAAAUGCACUAACAAGUCUAUAACCAUAAUACGGACCUGCUCGAACCCUCAGAACACAUAAAACAACAUCGAAACUAUGAAUCGCACCCCAAAACCAAAUUGAAUCAACUUAUAAACUUUAACUUCUUAACUAGCUCCGAACGUGCCGAAUUAUACUUAGACUAUUCGGAAUGACACCAAAUUUUGCGCACAAGUCAUAAAUCACCAUACAGACCUAUUCCCAGGCUCGAAAUCUCAAAUGGACCUCGAUAACACCAAAGUCUAUUCCAAAUAAAAUUUAAAGAACUAGAAAACCUUCAAUGCACCAAUUUUCAACAUUAAGCACCGAAAUGCUCCCGGAUCACCCGAAACACAAUUCAAACACACGCCUAAGUCCAAAAUCAUCAUACGAACCUAUUGGAACCAUCAAAUACCGGUUCCGAGGACGUUUACUUAAAACGUUGACUCAAGUCAAACUUGGCCAUCAUAUGCCACUAUUAAGGAACUAAGUAUUCUGAUUUCAACUUAAACCCUUCCAAACCUAAACCAACCAUCCCCGCAAGUCAUAAAAUAGUAAAAUCACAUACGGAAAGUCCUAAUUAAGGGAACGUGGAUCUAGAAAGAAAAAUGACCGGUCGGGUCGUUACAACCCGGAGUCACAAAUCUAAUAUGGAACAAAUAUGCCAAACCAAACCCGAGCCAAUUCACUAAUUUAGAAUUCAAAAUCCAGUUAUCUCCUAAUCACAUACUCAUAUGAUCAAAUUAACUCAAGUAAACAAAUACAAUUAACAGCCAAUGAGGGAAAAUGACAGAAAGUAUACCUAUCGGACUUGGACAUGCGUGGUGAGAAUUGAUUUCAAUCCGCCAAGUGAAACUCCGGCCGGUUAAGGAACUCUGGCAAGUAAUGGGGAUUGUAACAUGAGCACUGGCAGGAAUUUCUUCACAUGGACAGUGCUACAUGUAGCAAUUCUCAUCAUAUGCCAGAAAAGGGGAAAAAGCAAAGGUUCCAAAUGGUUCUGGCCGGUCAACGCAGUUUGACCGGAUUCGGGCGGCCUUAGAAUGGACCAAAACUAAUGUUAAUCGAUUGCUGACAUAGAUUUCAAUUUCAUACGAUCCAAGACUAGUAAGAAAUCAGAAAAGAGAUGGAUUAGGUAUUUUCUAAAAUCUUAGAUCCAAAAAUCGAAAAAUCGAUGGGGAUUUGGGAGACGAGGUUAAGGGGCUUGGAAAAAAGAGGGAACAAGGAUUGUUUGGUGAAAAUUUGGAGCCGUUUGAAGGUUGGCCGCCGCCGUGGGCGAUUUCCGACGGCAGCAUGAUGCGGAGGUUAAGAGAGAGGAGAGGUGGUCUGUU
rnacentral:lncRNA from 1 species